AUGGUUUUUAUAUGCAUCUUAAAGGAUGUCCUUGGCAACUUUUUUCUAUGGUAAGACAUUUUGCGUUCCUUUUAUUUGUGUAUCACAAAUAUGAAUAUUUGGUUCCUUUCAGAGGGUUCAAACGACUCAACUUUUUAUUGGGUUCUUUUAAUGAUGUUUAUCUUCCAUUUGUUUCAUGUGUAAUAAACAUUUGAAUUUUUGUUGUUAAUAUUGAUUGCAAUUUCCGCACCUCUAAAAUACUAAGUAUAUUUCUUGAGAAAAGAUUGUCUUCUUGUUAAGAGAUUGACAUUGGAUUGAAUCUGUGUUUCUGUUUUGUAUUUGACUGGGUUUAAAAUAGUCACAACUACAUGUUGCAGGUAUAUAUAUACAUAAAUUACUUUUUUCAAACCUAGCAGAAACUAGGACUUGUUCUUCUCAUGGCUACUAAGAAGUUUAUCUCCCGAGGAUAUGCUAUGCUAUUUCAAAGAAGAUUAUCACCUCUUGAUCCAGGAAUUUAUCAAAUGGUUUCAUGACAGAAGAGAGCUCUCCUGAUGCUGCAUCAGAGGAGUUGGGUAAUGAGUACUUUAAAUCGAAGUUUGAAUAAGCAAUUGAUAGCUAUUCUAGGAGCGUUGCAUU